rnacentral:rRNA from 1 species
ACGUAAUAGAUACCCAGGUAGUCCACGCCCUAAACGAUGUCUACUAGUUGUUGGUGGAGUAAAAUCCAUGAGUAAACGCAGCUAAACGCGUGAAGUAGACCGCCUGGGGAGUACGGUCGCAAGAUUAAAACUCAAAUGAAUUGACGGGGGCCCGCACAAGCGGUGGAUUAUGUGGAUUAAUUCGAUGCAACGCGAAAACCUUACCUGGCCUUGACAUGUAACGAACUUUCCAGAGAUGGAUUGGUGCUCGAAAGAGAACGUUAACACAGGUGCUGCAUGGCUGUCGUCAGCUCGUGUCGUGAGAUGUUGGGUUAAGUCCCGCAACGAGCGCAACCCUUGCCAUUAAUUGCCAUCAUUUAGUUGGGCACUUUAAUGGGACUGCCGGUGACAAACCGGAGGAAGUGGGGAUGACGUCAAGUCCUCAUGGCCCUUAUGGCCAGGGCUUCACACGGUAAUACAAUGGUCGGUACAGAGGGUUGCCAACCCGCGAGGGGAGCCAAUCCCAGAAAGCCGAUCGUAGUCCGGAUUGUAGUCUGCAACUCGAC